rnacentral:rRNA from 1 species
UGCGAGUCAACGUAUGAAUAAUACGUGGCGAACGGCUCAGUAACACGUAGUCAACAUGCCCAGAGGACGUGGAUAACCUCGGGAAACUGAGGAUAAACCGCGAUAGGUCAUAAUUACUGGAAUGUGUUAUGGCCCAAAUCUAUAUGGCCUCUGGAUUGGACUGCGGCCGAUCAGGCUGUUGGUGAGGUAAUGGCCCACCAAACCUUUUACCGGUACGGGCUCUGAGAGGAGGAGCCCGGAGAUGGGCACUGAGACAAGGGCCCAGGCCCUAUGGGGCGCAGCAGGCGCGAAACCUCUGCAAUAGGCGAAAGCCUGACAGGGUUACUCUGAGUGAUUCCCGCUAAGGGAAUCUUUUGGCAUCUCUAAAAAUGGUGCAGAAUAAGGGGUGGGCAAGUCUGGUGUCAGCCGCCGCGGUAAUACCAGCACCCCGAGUGGUCGGGACGAUUAUUGGGCCUAAAGCAUCCGUAGCCGGUCUUGCAAGUCUUCCGUUAAAUCCAGCUGCUUAACAGAUGGGCUGCGGAGGAUACUACAAGGCUAGGAGGCGGGAGAGGCAAGCGGUACUCAGUGGGUAGGGGUAAAAUCCUCUGAUCCAUUGAAGACCACCAGUGGCGAAGGCGGCUUGCCAGAACGCGCUCGACGGUGAGGGAUGAAAGCUGGGGGAGCAAACCGGAUUAGAUACCCGGGUAGUCCCAGCUGUAGACGAUGCAGACUCGGUGAUGGGCCGGCUUUAUGCCGGCUCAGUGCCGCAGGGAAGCCGUUAAGUCUGCCGCCUGGGGAGUACGGUCGCAAGACUGAAACUUAAAGGAAUUGGCGGGG